rnacentral:lncRNA from 1 species
UCAGAAUAGUCGGUAGAUAACUCAUUUCGUUGAGGGCUACAGUUGGACUUGCAUCCUCAAAAACUGUAGGUUUACCUUUUUUGAUACUUUUGGUCGUUCUAGGCCCACGUGUCACUGUAAAUUAAAUUUUAUACUUUGGUUAUCUGUAUUACAGUAUGUAUGAAUUUAUUUAGCUUUUACGCUACAAAAAUUAUUUACGUGUAACUCUAUAAAUAUUGUUCUAUAAGAAAAUAGAAUAUUUUAUUAAAUAUUUUUAUUAUAUCCAAAUAAUCAUAAUUUCAUUUUAAAUGAAGGUUUCAGAUAUUUAAACUUAUUUUUUAUUAUGAAUUAUGAGUUUUGUACUCGCAUACUACAUUUUUAGCAGAUUUUGAGAUUUUUGAGGAAAAAUGACCAAAAUGCCCCUACGAGAAAAAAAUUAUUUUUUUAUUGUUUUGAUUUGGAAAAUGUUUAUAAUCUCUCAAAACAUAAUUUUAGUGACUAAUACUCACAGGGGAAGCGAGAAAAACUUAUGUUAAGCCUUGCGAGGUUUUGAUUGACAUUUCGAGCAAUGAAUAUCUAUCGGGACGUCACGGCGAUUGUCACGGGUUUGAUGGGAGUUCCGAGUCGUGAUAGUUUUUAUACUCGUACUCUUUUGCAUGGUGGAGAGUUAAUGUUUUUCCGUAACUUCCUUAUUGGAUUGAAAGCUUCCAGUGCUUUAUAUGUUGAUCAUGAG